UGAGGCUUGGCAGAGCAGGAGCCCUCCGUGGCAGUGCUUGGGUAUCGAGGCUCUGAGGCUCCGGCCUCACCUCCCCACAGGGUCGAAGGCAACGUCUCCGGAUGCCAGCACUCGCAAAGGGCCGACCAUGAUGAUGAAACCCCAGGCGGAGACCUGGAAGCAGCACGGGAGCCCAGCCUCAGGCCUGCACGGACGGUGUUGGUUGGGAAGGUCCUUAGCACUCACCAGGAACAGUGGUUGCCUCUAGGAAUGAAAUGGGAUGACGGAAGACCUGGGGAGCCGUGGCAGGAGGAGACACUCAUGAUGCGCCUUUUGGCCAUAGUCACUGUCAUGGCUAAGAAAGCAACUCCAACCCACACACUGCAAAUAUGAAGGACCACGAAAGGCACGCAGGCUCUGGUUUGCAUAGUGAAGAUGAGCGUCUGUGUUCCUAAGCAUGAAGGAGGACCACAUGAGUAUCCUGGACACCUACUGCAUGAAUGUAUUCGCCCUUUCAGAUCUAGGGACCUGCAUCUCCUGGACAGUCAGCCGAGUGUUUCCAUGAUACCAGCCAUACCUGAUGCCAGGAGACUCGCUACACUUGGAAGCUCUUCAAGGUUUAACAGCCUCCCAGGAUGUCAACUGGAAGAUCAUGCCACUCCUGACAAUGAGAAGAGGAGUUCCCUGUGCAAGGGAAGCACAUGGUAGGGUUAAUGCUACAUGGAACAUGAACUCUGAAGACCCUCAUUUUGGUUUCCAUGAAGGUGGUGAAGGUUCUCCAAAUAAAAGCAUUUCCAAUAAGGGUGAAGAGUAGAGAGCAGUGAUGUUUCCAAAAAGUUUAGAAUUCCUCCUUCAAAUGACUUCCUAAUGAAUAUCAGAAGGCAAUGUGUGGAGUCACAAGUCAUUGGAAUGGCACCCACUGUGUAAUUUCAACAAAACACUUCAUCCCUCUGAGCCUCUGGUGGCUCAUCUGUAAAUUAAGGCAAAUUCUAUCUUCAAAUUUCUUCACUCUUUGAUCAACAACUUUUAUUCAACUUUGUUGAAAAGAACAAAAAAAUUGCAUCUCUGGUUGAAUUUGGUGGCUCUUUUUCUGGUUAAUAUAAAACGUGACUGUCAGAAUCCCAUCUCUAAAUCUUUGUCAAAUUCGUGUGGCCUCCUUUGUGUGCAGUUUACUAGUACAGCCCCAUAAUACUGGAUAAGAUUUUCCCUAAACUUCUGUGAUUUAAAUGAGAUGGUGGUUGCCUGCACUCAGACUGGUAAAUGGGUUGGUCCCGAGAACACUUACAGAAGCACCUUGCCUUGUUAUUUGGCUUUAGCAUUGUAUUAAAAAGUUAGUAGA
rnacentral:lncRNA from 1 species